CCUACGGGAGGCUGCAGUGGGGAAUAUUGGACAAUGGGGGGAACCCUGAUCCAGCCAUGCCGCGUGUGUGAAGAAGGCCCUCGGGUUGUAAAGCACUUUCAGUGAGGAAGAACGCCUGGUGGUUAAUACCCAUCAGGAAAGACAUCACUCACAGAAGAAGCACCGGCUAACUCCGUGCCAGCAGCCGCGGUAAUACGGAGGGUGCGAGCGUUAAUCGGAAUUACUGGGCGUAAAGCGCGCGUAGGUGGCUUGAUAAGCCGGUUGUGAAAGCCCCGGGCUCAACCUGGGAACGGCAUCCGGAACUGUCAAGCUAGAGUGCAGGAGAGGAAGGUAGAAUUCCCGGUGUAGCGGUGAAAUGCGUAGAGAUCGGGAGGAAUACCAGUGGCGAAGGCGACCUUCUGGACUGACACUGCCACUGAGGUGCGAAAGCGUGGGUAGCAAACAGGAUUAGAUACCCUUGUAGUC
rnacentral:rRNA from 1 species